ensembl:lncRNA DHRS4-AS1 DHRS4 antisense RNA 1
ACAGAGGUGGCACAGUUGUGCCAGAGGUAGCAGGGACAGGAGGGCUGGCAAGGGAGGGUCCAGGGCUAGGGGAUUCGGAGUGGCUUCAGGCGGACCACGUGGCUACCUUUUUUCCAGGGCCAGACUUUGGCAGCGUGUAAGGUCUGAGGACAGGGGCACCGGAGGCCGAGGAUGAGAGGCCAGUGCCUGUUUCCAGGCAGCCAGGGCCUCAGAAACUCCGGCCGGAGCACUCACCCGUCGGUGGAGGCCGUUACCAGGGCCACCUUAUUUGCGAGCGGGUCCCGGCGGGUCAUCCCGGAGCUGGCCAUCCGCACCGAAUUCCAAGCCCGGGCACAGAGGCCUAGCAGCCCCGCCUUGUGCAUGGAUCAGACCAGCAAGUAUGGGUUCCACUCUUCCCAGGGGCGGUGACAGAGUAGGGCGAGGGGCAGGACGAAGGGCGGGCCGAUUCCCUGCCCGCCCUGCUCCCCGCCCCGGUACCGCUGUGAGCGGUCUGUGGCCCUGGGCACCUCCAUCCGCCGCGGCGCCCCUCCACCAUCUACCUUCCGCCUGACUGGGGCUUGCCUUUCCGGGCUGGCGGGUGAGCUCUCCGUUCAAGUUGCCUGUAGGGCUCGCCCCUCCCCUGGCCCUUGCAGGAACCCGCAGGCUUUGGCUGCUGCCUUUCUGCAUCUGCUUGCCCACCUUUUCUUCUCUGGGAAGUGGGGGUUUUGAGUUGGUUGCUUUUGCUUCUUCAGAAUUCCUUCUCCAAGAAAGUCUGGGUCUAUGUGUGUGACAGCCCACAGGAGGGCAAAUGUUUUGAGACUGCCCAUGGAGGUGAGGCCUGUGGUCGCCAUGGAGUCCACCAGGUGAGGCUGGAAGAGCCUGGGAGAGAGACGUGAUAGGGAGUAGCUGCGCCAGGCCUGGCACUGCCCUUCACUCUGCCCAAGGUCUCUUCCAUCUUCACGGGCCCUGGAGGGCAGACUAUGGUCAUUGGCCAAACAGCAUUCUCAUGUCCGUUGACAAAGGGACUUCCUCCUUUACAGGGGCUAAGUGGUAGCGAGGAGGCUGGACAGUCCCUCAAGCAGUGGUGGAAAUGCAAAGAACUCGGGGCACUCAAGUUCUCCCUAACCACUCUGUCCCCAGGUCUUAGCCGCCAUCUUAGUUCAAUAAAUAUUUGUUGAAUGCAAAAUCUCUUUAUGAACUGUAAGCUACUAAGCACAUAGUAGUUACUGCCACCAUGUAGUGAUUAUUAUUGGUGCCCUGGGCCAGACUCUUCAUCUGUAAAUUACUGAGGGUAUGGAUGAUGAAUAAAGUCCUUGCCAGCUAUAAAUUCUGUGUCCAAGACUUCAGUCUGCACUUCUGCCAAGUGGGCUGAAAUGAUCUCCCUCCUGGGUUUCCGGGAGAAUGAAGAAAUCUGGAUGGCUUAUGGUACAGUGUAGAAAGGCCCCAACAGACCCAAAUGCAAGCAUCUGAAUUGGUUUAACCCACUGGCCUCCAAAGCCAGACUGAGAAGCAGUGCUGGUUCAUGGCAGCGUUUUCACUAGUUCAAGGCAAAAUGAGAAAAGGAAACAAUUACAGUGCCACUUCGGAUAAACCCUUUGGACUCCUAACUCCAAUCAGGUGUCUGCUUUGUUGAGGACUCACAGACACAGUCUCCUUUCUUCAAGAUCUUUACAAUGCAAGACCUCACUAACACACAGGGAUGGUCUCCCAGAGGGUCUGUGCUGUUCCUUCACUCAGAACAUCAAGAUGCACUGAAGUAAGGAUCCUCUAUUCUACAGUUCCUGCUAGCUGAGCUAUUCCAUGGGGGCUUCAGCAGGAAAUUCCAAGGUUGGCUUUGACAAGCUAAGGCCGGCUGGUGGAGCACAUCGAGUUCUGGAGGUUCAUGUGUGUUUUCAUGAAGAUCUGUCUGCCCGUAGCAGAUAAAGAGUUGUUGCCCCACUCCUCCUGGGGUCUUCUAUUUUCCUGGGAGGAAUUUCUGGAUUAACUGAACACACACACACACACACACACCCUUUUGAAGCAUCAACAGUAAUUCUGAGUUCUUAGGGACAAUGCAGAUUAAAUCCACAAUAAGAAAGACAACUAUGGCCAGGUGUGGUGGCUCACGCCUGUAAUCCCAGAACUUUGGGAGGCUGAGGCGGAUGGAUCACCUGAGGUCAGGAGUUAGAGACCAACCUGACCAACAUGGAGAAACCCCGUUUCUACUAAAAAUGCAAAAUUAGCCGGGCAUGGUGGCAGGCGCCUGUAAUCCCAAAUACUCGGGAGGCUGAGGCAGGAGAAUCACUUAAACCCGGGAGGCAGAGGUUGCAGUGAGCCAAGAUCGCGCCAUUGCACUCCAGCCUGGGCAAGAAGAGCAAAACUCCAUCUCAAAAAAAAAAAAAGAGUACUAUUGAUCCAGAGGUGACCAGACUAGCCUCACUGGAGAUAAUAGGUGACAUUAUUAUGCAAAGUGGUUUCAGUUCCCUUGUCUUGUUUUUGGAAUAGUAUAAGAGGCCUACAAUACGAAUAAAUAAGGCCCAUCACAAGCCUCACCAAAGGACAAAACUAAUCCACUUCUGAAGAAGGCUCUUUGUUGGGCCAGAUCAAAUCCUUGGACAGAACUGUACUCUUAAUCUCUGUAGUGAAAGUGGGGGGUAGUUUAAGAAUUUAUUAACCUUCUACCUUGAGCAAUCCCUCAGAAGUAAGAGGUGUCAGGCCUCUGAGCCGAAGCUCAGCCAUUGUAACCCCUGUGACCUGCACAUAUAUGUCCAGAUGGCCUGCAGGAGCCAAGAAGUCUGGGGCAGCUGAAAAACCACACAAGAAGUAAAACAGCCAGUUCCUGCCUUAACUGAUUAACCA